GAGGAGUCUUAACAAUGACGGAGUCCUUUCCAUACUCUCUUGUGGCCUGAACUUAUCUCCUACUAUUAGGGAAGGCACAAAGUCAGAGAACAUGGCACGUAAAGCUGCAGGAGAAGAUCCUUUGCCUGAGGAGGAUCCUUCAAAUCCCAUUUUUAAGCCAAUCCCUGAGCCAUCACGGUUGGAUAGCUUCCUCAUCACCAAUCAAAUUGCAAACUUUUGCAACCAAAUUAACGGGGUUUCUGGACAGAGCUUCAACCGAUUGUAUUUGAUGAAGGCUUUGCAAGAUAGUUGAUGUUAUCUUAGCUGGUAAGUGUUUACUCUUUGGAAGAGGAUGCCUUUCCUGUUUGAAAAUGAAAAAUUUUGGAGCGAGAAAGCCAUGCUCGGAUUGUUAUCAACCAUUUUGAAAGCGACUGUAGAAUGAUAGCUUAGUAUUGUUUUUGCUUUUAAUAGUCAAUUAAAUUUGUUGAUCUAUAUAAUUAUGCUAUUCUGGAGUUUUAAAAAGCAAAUUCAAAUUUUUUUUAGAGAGG
rnacentral:misc_RNA from 1 species